CGGACGGGUGGAGUAACGACGUGGAGUAACCUGCCGUAUACUGGGGGAUAAACACUUAGAAAUAGGUGCUAAUACCGCAUAAGCGCACAGUCUCGCAUGAGACGGUGUGAAAAACUCCGGUGGUAUACGAUGGAUCCGCGUCUGAUUAGCUUGUUGGCGGGGUAACAGCCCACCAAGGCGACGAUCAGUAGCCGGCCUGAGAGGGUGAACGGCCACAUUGGGACUGAGACACGGCCCAAACUCCUACGGAAGGCAGCAG
rnacentral:rRNA from 1 species